UACGGAGGGUGCGAGCGUUAAUCGGAGUUACUGGGCGUAAAGCGCACGUAGGUGGUGACAUCAGUCAGUGGUGAAAGCCCUGGGCUCAACCUGGGAGCGUCCACUGAGACGGUGAGACUGGAGUGCCUCAGAGGCUGGCGGAAUUCCCGGUGUAGCGGUGAAAUGCGUAGAGAUCGGGAGGAACACCGAUGGCGAAAGCAGCCAGCUGGGGGGACACUGACACUGAGGUGCGAAAGCGUGGGGAGCAAACAGG
rnacentral:rRNA from 1 species